CAACCCUACUCUUCCUACUAGUUCCCCUUACCCAACCCUGGUUCAGGACCACCUCUCCCGAGCUCCGGGCUAGGUCAGGCCGCUCUCCUUACACCCUCAUUACUCUUAGGUUUUUUCUUCAGCACUUUUACCACGAUUGUGACUAAUCACGUGUGUGAUCAUUUUGGUAACAGGUAAUAUUAAUAGCUCGAACAAUAUUACCGAGCUUUCCUCUUUGGCCUUUCUGGGUAAGUAGCCCUUCCCCUCUCAGGCCUGAGGCACCUGGCUACCUGGGAAAUAUUUGAAUUUGUACAGAAGGAAUAAAGAGGACCAUGGCAGAUCCAGUUCCUGAUCAUCAACACAGACUUUGCUACGAGACAGCUUUGUGAGAAAUACCAGAUCAGUUGCAGGAAAUAAAGAAAGACAUGUUCUCUGCAGACCCACGUGGCAGGUGCGGGGACUGCUUGCCAGCCCACGGCAACUCAUCUGUAGCGCAUAGAGAUUUGGGGGUAAGCCCAGUGAUGUGGAGUAUGUGGGCUGCCCAAGCUGGGUAGCAACCAACCUCAGCAUUGAAUGUACUGAGAGCCGGACUGGUGGAUGUCCCCACUGCCCUGAGGCAGGUCCAGGAGAAGGCUCCUACUUGCUGUGCAGAGGGCAAGCACCAAGUCAAGACUCCCAAAAUGUUACCAGAUGUCAGGCAUGAAGUAUACACUCCUGGCAAGCUCUGCCAUGCAUGGGAGUCACACCGCUUUCGACCCACAGGAGAGCCGGCCACGAGCAGUCCAAGGCAGGAGCAGAACUCCAUGUUGGCCAUUAUAAAGACAAGAUUCCUUUUCCCCCGCUUUUUAUGGCCUCUCUGGGGAAGAUGUGUCUGGAAGGAGGUGUGGGCCAGGAAAGAGCAUAUCUCUGAUGCCUGGGAUUCCGGGACAGAAUGUGCAGCCGACUCUAAGCUCUUGGGACGGGAUUGGAGGGUCUCAAAACCUUGCCAGCUUUGGAGUCAGAGAGAAAAGAGUCCCAACCCCAGAUUUACCAUUUGCUAACAUGUGUGACCUUGGGCAAAUCAGCUCACCUCUGUGGCCCUCGACAGAGAUAAUCCUGGUACCUACUUCACAGAGUCACGGAGAGGAUUAAAUGAGAAGAGGAAUAAAAGGAGUUUGGAGGAGUGCCCAGCACAUAGUGUGCAUUGAGCAAAUCCUGUAGUAAGAGGAGUAUUCAUAAUAGCUACUAUUGAUUAGGUGGUGGUGUCAGUUGAACAGUGUUCCCCCAAAAUUCAUGUCCACCCGGAGACACAGAAUGUGACCAUUUGUGGAAAUAGGGUCUUUGCAAAUCUAAGCAGUUAAGAUGAGGUCAUACUAGAUU